rnacentral:rRNA from 1 species
UUUAUUGNAGCUGGUAUGAAUGAUUGGACGAGAAANUUGCUGUCUCUAAUAAAUUUAUUUUUGAAAUUAACUUUUGAGUAAGAAGGCUCAAAUUUAUUUUAAAGACGAGAAGACCCUAUAGAGUUUUAUACUGUGAAAAAUUUAAAGUUUUUGGUUAUUUAAUUUUUUUGAUUUUUUUUUGGUAUUUGGUUGGGGUGACUAAAAGAUUCGAUAAACUCUUUUAAUUAAUAAUCAUUUAUUUGUGAAUUUUAAAUCUAAUUUUUUUCAAUUUAAUACAAAUUACCUUAGGGAUAACAGCGUAAUUUCUUUUUAGAGUUCUUAUUGAAAAAGAAGUUUGCGACCNCNNUGUUGAUUUAAAUUGCCNCGGUAU